ACGGGAGGCAGCAGUAGGGAAUAUUGCACAAUGGGGGGAACCCUGAUGCAGCAACGCCACGUGUGGGAAGAAGCAUUUCGGUGUGUAAACCACUGUCGUGAGGGAAUAAUGCUUGGCUCCGGCCAAGUUGAAUGUACCUCGAGAGGAAGCACCGGCAAACUUCGUGCCAGCAGCCGCGGUAAUACGAGGGGUGCAAGCGUUGUUCGGAAUCACUGGGCGUAAAGGGAGCGUAGGCGGAGAUGCAAGCAGUCUGUACGAUACCGGGGCCCAACCCCGGACCUGCAGACUGGACUGUGUCUCUUGGAUAGUUCAGGGGCAGGCGGAAUUCCUGGUGUGGCGGUGGAAUGCGUAGAGAUCAGGAAGAACACCGAUGGCGAAGGCAGCCUGCUGGGGACUCAUCGACGCUGAGGCUCGAAAGUGCGGGUAGCAAACAGGAUUAGAUACCCUGGUA
rnacentral:rRNA from 1 species